GUACACUCCUACGGGAGGCAGCAGUGGGGAAUUUUGGACAAUGGGCGAAAGCCUGAUCCAGCAAUGCCGCGUGCAGGAUGAAGGCCUUCGGGUUGUAAACUGCUUUUGUACGGAACGAAAAGCUCCUUCUAAUACAGGGGGCCCAUGACGGUACCGUAAGAAUAAGCACCGGCUAACUACGUGCCAGCAGCCGCGGUAAUACGUAGGGUGCGAGCGUUAAUCGGAAUUACUGGGCGUAAAGCGUGCGCAGGCGGUUAUGUAAGACAGAUGUGAAAUCCCCGGGCUCAACCUGGGAACUGCAUUUGUGACUGCAUGGCUAGAGUACGGUAGAGGGGGAUGGAAUUCCGCGUGUAGCAGUGAAAUGCGUAGAUAUGCGGAGGAACACCGAUGGCGAAGGCAAUCCCCUGGACCUGUACUGACGCUCAUGCACGAAAGCGUGGGGAGCAAACAGGAUUAGAUACCCCAGUAGUCCCA
rnacentral:rRNA from 1 species